rnacentral:rRNA from 1 species
UACAGAGGGUGCAAGCGUUGUUCGGAAUUACUGGGCGUAAAGCGUGCGUAGGCGGUUUUUUAAGUCUGCUGUGAAAUCCCCGGGCUCAACCUGGGAAUGGCAGUGGAUACUGGAAAGCUAGAGUGUGAUAGAGGAUGGUGGAAUUCCCGGUGUAGCGGUGAAAUGCGUAGAGAUCGGGAGGAACAUCAGUGGCGAAGGCGGCCAUCUGGAUCAACACUGACGCUGAGGCACGAAAGCCAGGGGAGCAAACGGG